GGCAAAUUCGUGAUUUAACUUAAGGGCAAAGAGAAGGAAUAGUUUUCAGGACAUCAUGGGGGAAAUAUAGAUAGUCAAGAGAAAAGAUUUCUGUACCCUCAUUUUUCUUUCCCUGUUCUCUAAGCUACCCCCUGAUGCCCUAAGGAUGAAAAGCUAGAGCUGCUGGGAUUGGUACUUUUGGACCGUGAUUAAUUGUCUAGUGAAUCCUGUCUUGGGAGAGCCUAUCCUAAAUUCACCACUGACUUUUUCUACUCUUACAGCCUA
rnacentral:lncRNA from 1 species